CCCUCCAUGAUAACGCGCCAAUUCCAGUUCUCCCUUCCUACAUCUCUCUUCCGACUCUUCCUCUUCAACUGCAAUCAAACACCAUCAAAUAGUUCAACUCUCCCUUACAAAUUAAUCUCUGCUCCCACUCUUCGUUUUCCGCUAGAAUUAGAACACCAUCAGAGGAUCGACUUUAAUCUCUCCUCCUACUCACUCGUUUCUGGUUCAUAGAUUUAGGUUGUGGUGGUCGAACAAGUCACGAUUUAGGCCGAGCAAGACGGGGGCAUUGUGGUCGAACAAGUCAAAUCGGGUGAAGACGCUGAGGUCGAGCAAGAUUGGCUAUGGUCGAGCAAGCUAGAUAGGGGGAAGACAUUCAAGAAAGAUCGAACCAGAGUUAUCAAACAUUCUGGACUUGCGUAUAUUGUAUGUUCUGCAAACCCUCUGAAUGUUUAUUUCAAUUACAGGUAGUUGUCUCAUUUAUUUUUUGCUUGUCAUAAUGGUAUUAUCAUUUCAUUUGGUUAUCAUAGCCAGCUUUAACCGACCAAAUGUUUAGUAGACUAUUGGAUUUCAUUUUCGAAAGCUGUUGUACACAGGAGUAGCAUUUUCAGUUAACUUAAUUUCAAUCUUUAAGCAGAUGGUACAUAGGAAUUACAACUUUUUUGGUUGACUAUGUUCCAUUAUCUAAUUUUUCUCAUGACAAAUCAAAUUUGAAAAUUCUGGUUCUGGGAAAAUAGCAUUUUCACAUAUAAUUGUGCAGAUGGCUGUAUGGUAAACAUGAUGGAUCCCCUUGUAGGUUAUCAACUAGGGCAAUUGUUAGUAGGAAUAAUUCUGUAAAGGCUGAUUCUGUUGUAAAGAAGAGUUCAUGUAAAGUUGUAAAGCUGAUUCUGUAAAGGUGACCAAUGUUGAUAGCUAUUCAUUGAUGUAAUUAUAAUAUUUAUGGGUUGUUUGCAUUUUAAGGUAGAAGUUUUAUUAGUUUUAGGAUUUAGUUUGGCUGGUCCAAUAAGUUCAAGAAACAAUUGUAUGUUUAGAAAUUAGAAUAAAGGUUGUAUCUUCAGAAGCUACCUAGGCUGAUAAUGUAGUACUUUGUUUUUCUAUUAUCAAGAAAAAAUAGUUAGUUAUGGAUUCUUUUAUUAUGGCAGGGUUACAAUGUUGGGAAUGUUUAGGAGAAUUUCAAUAAGGGAAAGAAGUUUAUGUAAGAUCCACAAACAUGAGAAUAUCAACCUUAAAGUAAAAUUUUGCAUUUUAGUUCUUUCUAAUUUAGUUUUGAUACCAAUCACUUUGGAGGUCCAAUACUGAUACCGAACACACACUGAGGCUCAAUGCCUAAUUUAGUUCUUUCUAUUUCUUAGUUCAUCUUAUUUUCUUAUUUUUACCAGAAUGUAUUUUCUUUUUCUGCAAUGAAUCCUAUUUUCCCAAGUUGCAAUUCUGAAAACUCAAUUUAACUCAAUCCUUAAACACUAUAUUUUCAAAUUACAGAUACCUAGAUAACAACUAGUUAUUAAUCUUUGUAAUGGAAACUGCAUCAAUUUGAUCUAUUAGUACAUUGCCCUGAGAUUCUUUCUUUUCUAGAAAUCACUACUAAACAUUGGAGUGUCAUUUGACUUCUGCCCAUAACUGGUGAAAUUUUGAAUGAUACAUUUUACUUUUCUUGUUCAUUAGGCUUAUUUUGCUUCUGUCUAAUUUCUGUUUUCAUCAGUCAAGCAUUGAUGGGUUUGGCUAACUUCUAGAUGCCUUAGAUUUUCUGUUUUCAUAAAGGUUAGAAUUUAUGAAUUAUGAUAUGUUUGGCUAACUUCUAAAUUAGUUCCGAGUCUACACAUUAAUUCCAUCUCCUAUUUGUCUUAAAUCAUCUUUGUUUCAUCUCUUUAUUCUGUGCAACCAAUUCUUCUGCAUAGCUAAGCUCACAAUGAGAUUUUGUAAGAGCAGAAAGACUCCCUGGGUUUCAUGCCGGUGUUGGGACUUGGGAGUGGUGGCAACACUGGUGAGAAACUUCCUCCUGAUUGGCACACUGAGAAAGGUAAUUCUUGAUUCUGUUGAUAUUUAUAUGAAGAUUUCCCUUGUUGGGCCAACUGGAUUAUUUAAACUUGACUAAAUGCUGAUGGAUACUUUCAUCAGUGGAUCUAUAGAUGGAGAAGGUAGAAUAUGUGGUGUUUCUGAUGAAUGAGUUGUUGACUGGGCCGAUGUAUGCAAGAUUUAGUAAUUUGCAUAUGAUGUCAACCAGAUGAAGAGGAUUUUCUUCUAACUAUUUGAUUCCACUAUGGUUUAGCCAUAAAAUUUUUUCUUUUGAUGUCCUCAUCCUUAUAAACUCAUUUCUUCAGGAUUGUAACUGAUUAUUAUUUCAUUGAUCAGUUUAUAGAAAUCUGAUUAUUGAAGAGGAUUUAGAGGUAAUUUUAGAGUGGUUAUAGGGGAACCUGGCAGUUGAGGCAUCAAGUUCAAGAAGCAAGACCACUAAUAAACACUUUGGGAGGUUCUAUUCUGUUGCAUGGAUUCCAAGGUCUGCCAACAUGCAUGUUCACAAACUCCUGGGUUGAGUCUGUUGUAUAUAUAGUGACUAUAUAUAUCAGACUCUGACGUUUCAUAUAUUCAGGAAGUCAAGACUGAAUUUCAUAUAUACGGCAGGUUACAACCUGUUCAUCAAAACGACAUUUACUCAACCCAUCUUUCCCAAGAAAUCAAGUCUACAGUAAAAAGACAGCUCAUGAUCAAGCUAAUUGUCCAGUCAAUCUGUUAGGUUGGACCCGUUCAAUGGGAGCCACACGACCAAUGAAAAUUGGAGUUAUAAACAGUUAAUAUAUAUGUUGGAAAUUAACAAGACAGUCUCUACACAUCCUAGACGACCAAGAAACAAGAUAUUAGGUCUUAUUUUGCACAAGCUAAAAUAAGCUUAAUGAAUAUAUUAAUGAAACAUAUACUAAACAAUUAAAAGUUGGUUAUAACCAAGGGAAAAGCAAGUUCAAUAUAUACUUCCUGGUCAAUUAGUUCAUUGCAGACCUGAAAUCAUCUCCUAUAAAUAUACCAUUAUUCUUCUCCUUGUUCAAGGUUCUCAAUCAUCUUCAGAAGACUCUUACUUCUCUCUCUCUCUCAAAUCAUCUCCUAUAAAUAUAUAUGUUGGAAGAGGUUUCUUGAUCCAUCAUUCUCAGAGUACAGGAAUGGAUUUAAUAUGGUUGUCUUCUGAGCUUUUCUCACCAGAGCUGUGGGAAGCAGGGCCAAAGGAGAAUCUAUUAGGCCUGUUAAGCCUGGCAUCAAAUUGCAUAAUGGAGGCACUUUCUGUGAGACCAUCAAUGAAGCAUGUUGCAGAGAAACUGAAGCAGUUACAGACCAACUGACAACCGAUCUUACUCUCAGUUCUGAAUUGCCAGGACAGUGAUAAAUCACGGUUCUGAUGUCCUUAAGGUCAUAAUUAAGGUUGGUAGGGCUGGUCGUUUUGGGAGCAAGGGACUUGCAGUCACUUUUGUAUCAUCUGCUGCUGACUCUGAUGUUCUUAUUCAGAGUGCGAUCUUCUCCUUCACUUCCCUGAAUUUAUCUCUACUUGGACUUGGAAGAUGGAAUCUAUAAAGAGAUUUGCAACAAAUGCAAGCUGUGCAUCGGAUUCCUCCAAAUUUUACAAGGCACAUUUCGAAAACAGCAAUUGGAAGAGCAAUCCUAGAGGAUUGUAGUGGUUAUCGUUGGUUCGUCAAAUUAAGACAGACUUCAAGUGGCAUAUAUUUGGCAGGAUUUUUUAGUAGAUCACUCUAUACUGGAUAAUGAAUUUUUACUAUUUCUAUAUGAUGGAAAUCUGAUAUUCAAUGUGAAGAUUUUUGGCAAGAAUGGAUGUGGGAGAGAUGCCAGUACAUUUACUCUUAAGACAGACCAAGUCCCUACAUUCUCAAAUAGAAGAGAGAAAGGAGCUAGCCCAUCAAGAAAUUUUUUGUUAAUUGUAUUAUUUAUAUGAUAUGAAUUUGGAAAUUGUAAUAUAUUUUUAACA